GAAAAUAAAACACAAUGCACCGCAAUAACGGGAUAGAAACCUUGUGGCUUCAAAAUAGGUGGGAAGAACACAACAAGAUGCACCUGAAAGCGCACAAGACAACCCUGCAAUUUAUGCCACGGCUGGUGUGGAGGAAGGACAGACGAGCAAUGCAUUCUGGGCCAGUGACGUCCAUCACGACCAAGGUGACAGGCUGUCACACCGACUGUCAGUGCAAUGGAUGAGCCUGCGCGUGUCAGGAAGGUGACCAGAGCACCACCACCAUCACAGGCACCAAGUGUCUGUCUCUCUGCGGCUCUUGGCUAAUUGCUGAUGUCCUGGCCAAGCUUAGUCCAGCAGUCCUCCUGACACUGCGUGGUUUGAAUACCGAUAGUGGAAGUACCUGUUGCGAAGCCUCCUUUGAAGGAAUAAACCAAUUCAAAGUAAACAACACUCUUCUGCAUCCUAUUAUUGUGGAGUGGUCGUAGCACACAGCCAAUGUGGAGUUGUUUCUCAGAGCUUGGCCAUAUCCACUAAACAACAAUGUUUCUGUUCCGAGGACAGUAAUGUAAAAACGUACACGUGAAGAUGUAUGAAAAUUACCCAGACAAGUUUUUGGAGGAGAAUUGUGCCCUCGGCAACUGUAAAUGGGCCUGGCAGACUGAACUUCAGUGUGGGAUGGGU
ensembl:lncRNA